UCUUAAUAAAAUCUUCCGUUUGAUAGAAAUGCACCAAUUUCAGUCUAGCAUAUCCGCUAGUCUAACAAGCUCAACUUGAAGGCUACACCAACACAUAUAAACGGAAAUCUAUGGUCGGUGUUCGGCUACACCUUGGGACAAUGCAGGAACCAACACAGUCUUCACCCGUUAUUGGAAACAGAUCCAUUUACGUUGGUCGCUCAAAACGGAUACUUUUUCAGUCGUUACCAACGGAUCCGUUCAUCUUUUUUUCAUAUUAUAGAAUAGGAUUAAAAUAAGAAACGGUGUUUUUUUAUUUAAAUUAGUGUAAAUUGUCACCUAUGUGUACUUGGGUCGGUUGUCGGGCCGGAAUAAAGCCGGUUCCAAAACCCGAUUAUGCUAUUUUGUCCCCUGUUUGCCCCGUUUCGUGUAAUACAAUAAAAAUUCUAUUACAUAA